GACGAACGCUGGCGGCGUGCUUAACACAUGCAAGUCGAACGGAAAGGCCCUGCUUUUGUGGGGUGCUCGAGGGGCGAACGGGUGAGUAACACGGGAGUAACCUUCCCUUGACUUUGGGAUAACUUCAGGAAACUGGGGCUAAUACCGGAGAGGAGCUCCUGCUGCAUGGGGGGGGUUGGAAAGUUUCGGCGGUUGGGGAUGGACUCGCGGCUUAUCAGCUUGUUGGUGGGGUAGUUGCUUACCAAGGCUUUGACGGGUAGCCGGCAUGAGAGGGUGACCAGCCACAUUGGGACUGAGAUACGGCCCAGACUCCUACGGGAGGCAGCAGUGGGGAAUAUUGCACAAUGGGCGGAAGCCUGAUGCAGCAACGCCGCGUGCGGGAUGACGGCCUUCGGGUUGUAAACCGCUUUCGCCUGUGACGAAGCGUGAGUGACGGUAAUGGGUAAAGAAGCACCGGCUAACUACGUG
rnacentral:rRNA from 1 species